UGCAAUAUUGAACAGAUUGAUGAAGGCAACGAAAGUGAUUUACUUGAAGCAACGAACUCACCUUUAACAUUUUGAUUUAGACAAGUAUCUCCUAAUUCGAAUCAGGUUUCCUCUAGCGGCUAUCCGGUUAGGGAAACUGUCCACCCACCGAGAUUACCUCUCGCCAUGACACCCCUAUUCACAGGGUGCCCCAUAUUCGAUCCCUUCACUUACCCCUCUAAGUCAUUCCUACCACCCUUUUAAAGAGUUUUAAGCCGAAUACAUCGCUAUCAAUUUAAAAAAUGAGUCUUAGUGAAAAUUAGAUACACAUCAAAAACAAGUUAUUAACAAGAGAUCAAAACAAAAUACAUUGUAAAAAAUGGUUUUCUUGGUUUCAUUAAACCAUUAAUAUUCUUUAUUCUCUCUUCUUUCCAGGCAACCUCUUUAUUUUCAGGUUAUAUCUGGCGGCUGAUAAAGAUUAUUUAGGCUUGAUCUGGAGGCGGCUCUUCCCAAUGUGUCAAACAAUGCAGAUCGGGGCCGUACAAAUUCGUAACACUUGAGCUCAACCGCGAGAGGAAUCUUGUGCCCAAUGUAUUAAGAGUACAAUGUCUUUGGGAAUUAUACCAGGUGUAGAGGUUCCUGGUUUAUUACACCUAUAGGCCAACAAUCGAUACCUCAACAAUUACCUGCUGUCAUCAAGAGAGAUUGAUCGCUAAGCUAGAAGAAGCAAGAAGCUAAACUUUGCCACAACAAAAAGAAUUGUUUUAACAAAUAAAUACAUAACAAGUGUUUUAUUGAAGCCUUAACCACCAGUGCCUUGUUAGCAACACAAAAAGUCAAACAAUGCAGAUCGUCGACGAACCCUGAGUGGAAUUCUGUACCCAAUGUGGCAACCUCUUUAUUUUCAGGUUAUAUCUGGCGGCUGAUAAAGAUUAUUUAGGCUUGAUCUGGAGGCGGCUCUUCCCAAUGUGUCAAACAAUGCAGAUCGGGGCCGUACAAAUUCGUAACACUUGAGCUCAACCGCGAGAGGAAUCUUGUGCCCAAUGUAUUAAGAGUACAAUGUCUUUGGGAAUUAUACCAGGUGUAGAGGUUCCUGGUUUAUUACACCGAUAGGCCAACAAUCGAUACCUCAACAAUUACCUGCUGUCAUCAAGAGAGAUUGAUCGCUAAGCUAGAAGAAGCAAGAAGCUAAACUUUGCCACAACAAAAAGAAUUGUUUUAACAAAUAAAUACAUAACAAGUGUUUUAUUGAAGCCUUAACCACCAGUGCCUUGUUAGCAACACAAAAAGUCAAACAAUGCAGAUCGUCGACGAACCCUGAGUGGAAUUCUGUACCCAAUGUGGCAACCUCUUUAUUUUCAGGUUAUAUCUGGCGGCUGAUAAAGAUUAUUUAGGCUUGAUCUGGAGGCGGCUCUUCCCAAUGUGUCAAACAAUGCAGAUCGGGGCCGUACAAAUUCGUAACACUUGAGCUCAACCGCGAGAGGAAUCUUGUGCCCAAUGUAUUAAGAGUACAAUGUCUUUGGGAAUUAUACCAGGUGUAGAGGUUCCUGGUUUAUUACACCGAUAGGCCAACAAUCGAUACCUCAACAAUUACCUGCUGUCAUCAAGAGAGAUUGAUCGCUAAGCUAGAAGAAGCAAGAAGCUAAACUUUGCCACAACAAAAAGAAUUGUUUUAACAAAUAAAUACAUAACAAGUGUUUUAUUGAAGCCUUAACCACCAGUGCCUUGUUAGCAACACAAAAAGUCAAACAAUGCAGAUCGUCGACGAACCCUGAGUGGAAUUCUGUACCCAAUGUGGCAACCUCUUUAUUUUCAGGUUAUAUCUGGCGGCUGAUAAAGAUUAUUUAGGCUUGAUCUGGAGGCGGCUCUUCCCAAUGUGUCAAACAAUGCAGAUCGGGGCCGUACAAAUUCGUAACACUUGAGCUCAACCGCGAGAGGAAUCUUGUGCCCAAUGUAUUAAGAGUACAAUGUCUUUGGGAAUUAUACCAGGUGUAGAGGUUCCUGGUUUAUUACACCGAUAGGCCAACAAUCGAUACCUCAACAAUUACCUGCUGUCAUCAAGAGAGAUUGAUCGCUAAGCUAGAAGAAGCAAGAAGCUAAACUUUGCCACAACAAAAAGAAUUGUUUUAACAAAUAAAUACAUAACAAGUGUUUUAUUGAAGCCUUAACCACCAGUGCCUUGUUAGCAACACAAAAAGUCAAACAAUGCAGAUCGUCGACGAAACCUGAGUGGAAUUCUGUACCCAAUGUGGCAACCUCUUUAUUUUCAGGUUAUAUCUGGCGGCUGAUAAAGAUUAUUUAGGCUUGAUCUGGAGGCGGCUCUUCCCAAUGUGUCAAACAAUGCAGAUCGGGGCCGUACAAAUUCGUAACACUUGAGCUCAACCGCGAGAGGAAUCUUGUGCCCAAUGUAUUAAGAGUACAAUGUCUUUGGAAAUUAUACCAGGUGUAGAGGUUCCUGGUUUAUUACACCGAUAGGCCAACAAUCGAUACCUCAACAAUUACCUGCUGUCAUCAAGAGAGAUUGAUCGCUAAGCUAGAAGAAGCAAGAAGCUAAACUUUGCCACAACAAAAAGAAUUGUUUUAACAAAUAAAUACAUAACAAGUGUUUUAUUGAAGCCUUAACCACCAGUGCCUUGUUAGCAACACAAAAAGUCAAACAAUGCAGAUCGUCGACGAACCCUGAGUGGAAUUCUGUACCCAAUGUGUUCAAUGUCUAUUGGAAUUAUAUCAGGGGCUUGCCAGACUGACAAUGCCGCAAAUCUGCUCCUCCAACGUUGGACUGGGCGGUGUUGGUGUGGCUCCCGAUAUAAACUUUAAGAUUUUUACCAAGUUUGUUGCUAAGUUGUGGGGUAUGUUCAGUGGGUUAGCGAGAGCUAAAAUGACCGCUCAGUACAUCUGAAUUUUAAUGGCUAUAUUCCUUGAUAUGUAGUAAACUAAAUGUAGCUGAAGCUAUUUAUAUGUGUUUUAAAAUGUAGUGAAAAAUUAGGCAAAAUAGAGGAAAAUGGGAACCGGUAUAUAACGCAAAAACCGGAAACCUAAAUAAAUAAAUUUUGUUCUAUUGUUGGCAAGUUUCGUUCGUGAAUUUAAAAAUAAGUCUGUCCAAAUUAUGGACCAAGUGCCUUUGUGCCGAGUUGACCAGCAAACCGCCAACAAUUAAUUUAUUCUGGUUAGUCUGGUGGCGAAAUCCUCCCGAACACCCACUUUAUCACACCAUUAAAAAGGGUAAAGGAUAAGAGAAUAACAUUGAAAAGAGGUAACCCACUAUAAUAACGUCGAUCGUUGAUAGAUUGAUAGAUUUUCAAGUAAGGGAUAGUGCAAUAUUCAUCCCAGAUAUGAUAGAUCAGAUGCUAGUUGGACUAUCUAUCUGUGAGAUCUUUUUCUUUAAAUAUUACGAAACUGCCGUGGAGACUAGCUUGAAAAUAUGACUCUAUGAAACAAUUGUUGGUUAAUUUAAUAUAACUGCCUGCUUUGAAAACCUCAAGGAUAUCACUUUAAAGUCAGGAAGCUGCGAUGAAUUCCGUUCAGUGUUUGCUAUAAGCUCGGCGUAUUCGUCCGAUUUGAAGGCGGACGAAUCUAAAUCAAUUAAAGACUUUAUUUCUAUUAAUACCUCUUCUAUGUCAUACCUUGACAGCGUAUCUGGGAUGAGGCUUUGGGCUCCUUUUCGGUGCUCUAUAUCAAAGGUGAAAGUUUGCAGCUGUAAACUCCACCUAGCUAAUCUGCCGGAUCAGGUUUUAAUUUUCCACCUCCACGUAUGUAACCUAAGUACUUAAGUUCCUUGAAGCAGAAUUUCGACUUAGUCAAAUUUAUAGUGUGAGUGUUGACUUCUGGCGAAAUUACCAAAAGAUCAUACAAGUAGAUGAAAACUCUGUCACGUAGUGCAAAAAGUGGUCGUCCGGGCACCGUGAUGGCAGUUUUUUCUCUACUUGAAAGACCCAAUGGAAUUUGUCAAAAAGCACCCUUCAGGACGACACUGGAUAUAAAGUAGGUAUUGCUCAGCCUUGACCGUCAGUGCGUUGAGUUUUCGAGCGUCCAGGCACGAACGGUUCCUGUCCCCCUUGCGAACUAGAGUAACCGGAUGACUCCUUCCGCAUAGGAAAUUGUACUUCACCAAUUGCAAACGAAUGCGUUGCUCAUCGGACAAUACAUGAUGUUUUUACAUCAUUGAUCUCCGCGGCAUCACCGAGGCUCUUUUGAUGGAAGGACAAACCGUCAACCUGAGCAAACAAAUGGAAACUUCCCAUGAAAUCUACGCCUAAAAGCAAUUCACGACUCAGCGAUGGCAGCAGGUAGAUAGUCACCGAAUGGGUUUUGCCUGUUAAAAAGGACAUAAAUUGUCACCCUUCCCACUAUCUUGUGAGGACUGUCAUCAGCCGUUUUGAUAAAUGGAUCUGACCGAUUGUUAGUCCUGCUCUUUUAACAAAGUUGAGGCAGUUCUUUCCCAAGCAAGAAACUAUUGCUCCGCUAUCCAAUAAAUCCUCUACUUCCUCCCCAUUAAUAAACAAUUUCGUAUAUAACCGGGUAUCAUCACCUUCAUACAGGGUUGCUGAGGAGAUCUCUCUCCGUAUACGUUUUCUCCUCUUAUACCUCUCCCGAACCUUAUUUAAUUUAUUCGAAACUUCUCCGAAGAUUCUUGCCCUGGCUUCAUUGUAUUCUUUGAUUCUGAUAUGGAGCAGUUUAAGCUCCCUCAACUUUACUUUUGAAUCUGACCCUGCCAUCAAAUUGCUAACAUUCAUUUUUUUAAGUUUUUAUCUUAUCGCUAAAAGUUAACCUAUUUGUAUUUUCU